ACAGUGUUGUGGUACUAAAAGCACAAGCGUCUGUAACUCUGGGCAAUGAGGCACAUCGAGAGUUUGCUGAGAAGACUGUGAAGCAUAAAGAAGAAAGUUUUUCCUACUCUUCCUCAUGUGUCCAACACGAAAUUUGCUGUUCAAUUUUCACAGAACUAGAAGGUGAAGUUACAAAGGUAUAUAGAAGGUACACAGAAUCAAAAAAGAUUAUAAAAGAAGGCAAGAGUUUUGUUAGUGACGUCCUGUUUCCUCUGAAGAGUAAUAGUUGGAAUCAAAGAGUCAACGCAAUGAACUGUCACUUACUGCUGCGUUUUAUGUUGGGAAUUCCUCUCCUAUGGCCUUGUCUUGGAGCAACAGAAAACUCUCAAAGAAAGAAAGUCCAGCAGCCAGUGCGAUCUCAUUUGAGAGUGAAGCGUGGCUGGGUGUGGAACCAAUUUUUUGUACCAGAGGAAAUGAAUAAGACUAGUCAUCACAUCGGCCGGCUAAGAUCUGAUUUAGACAAUGGAAACAAUUCUUUCCAGUACAAGCUUUUGGGAGCUGGAGCUGGAAGUACUUUUAUCAUUGAUGAAAGAACAGGUGACAUAUAUGCCAUACAGAAGCUUGAUAGAGAGGAGCGAUCCCUCUACACCUUAAGAGCCCAGGUAAUAGACAUCACUACUGGAAGGGCUGUGGAACCUGAGUCUGAGUUUGUCAUCAAAGUUUCGGAUAUCAAUGACAAUGAACCAAAAUUCCUAGAUGAACCUUAUGAGGCCAUUGUACCAGAGAUGUCUCCAGAAGGAACAUCAGUUAUCCAGGUGACAGCAAGUGAUGCUGACGAUCCUUCAAGUGGUAAUAAUGCUCGUCUCCUCUACAGCUUACUUCAAGGCCAGCCAUAUUUUUCUGUUGAACCAACAACAGGAGUCAUAAGAAUAUCUUCUAAAAUGGAUAGAGAACUGCAAGAUGAGUAUUGGGUAAUCAUUCAAGCCAAGGACAUGAUUGGUCAGCCAGGAGCGUUGUCUGGAACAACAAGUGUAUUAAUUAAACUUUCAGAUGUUAAUGACAAUAAGCCUAUAUUUAAAGAAAGUUUAUACCGCUUGACUGUCUCUGAAUCUGCACCCACUGGGACUUCUAUAGGAACAAUCAUGGCAUAUGAUAAUGACAUAGGAGAGAACGCAGAAAUGGAUUACAGCAUUGAAGAGGAUGAUUCGCAAACAUUUGACAUUAUUACUAAUCAUGAAACUCAAGAAGGAAUAGUUAUAUUAAAAAAGAAAGUGGAUUUUGAGCACCAGAACCACUAUGGUAUUAGAGCAAAAGUUAAAAACCAUCAUGUUGCUGAGCAGCUCAUGAAGUACCACACUGAAGCUUCCACCACUUUCAUUAAGAUCCAGGUGGAAGAUGUUGAUGAGCCUCCUUUUUUCCUCCUUCCAUAUUAUAUAUUUGAAAUUUUUGAAGAAACCCCACAGGGAUCAUUUGUAGGCAUGGUGUCUGCCACAGACCCAGACAAUAGGAAAUCUCCUAUCAGGUAUUCUAUUACUAGGAGCGAAGUGUUCAAUAUCGAUGAUAAUGGUACAAUCACUACAACUAACUCACUGGAUCGUGAAAUCAGUGCUUGGUACAACCUAAGUAUUACAGCCACAGAAAAAUACAAUAUAGAACAGAUCUCUUCGAUCCCAGUGUAUGUGCAAGUUCUUAACAUCAAUGAUCAUGCUCCUGAGUUCUCUCAAUACUAUGAGACAUAUGUUUGUGAAAAUGCAGGCUCUGGUCAGGUAAUUCAGACUAUCAGUGCAGUGGAUAGAGAUGAAUCCAUAGAAGAGCACCAUUUUUACUUUAAUCUAUCUGUAGAAGACACUAACAAUUCAAGUUUUACAAUCAUAGAUAAUCAAGAACUGGUUUUAACCUUCAAGAAGAGCCUGUCUUCUACAUCUCCAUCUUAAUUGCUGACAAUGGAAUCCCGUCACUUACAAGUACAAACACCCUUACCAUCCAUGUCUGUGACUGUGGUGACAGUGGGAGCACACAGACCUGCCAGUACCAGGAGCUUGCACUUUCCAUGGAAUUCAAGACAGAAGUCAUCAUUGCUAUUCUCAUUUGCAUUAUGAUCAUAUUUGGGUUUAUUUUUUUGACUUUGGGUUUAAAACAACGGAGAAAAGAGAUUCUGUUUCCUGAGAAAAGUGAAGAUUUCGGAGAGAACAUAUUCCAGUAUGAUGAUGAAGGGGGUGGAGAAGAAGAUACAGAGGCCUUUGAUAUAGCAGAGCUGAGGAGCAGUACCGGAAUGCGGGAACGCAAGACUCGGAAAACCACAAGCGCUGAGAUCAGGAGCCUAUACAGGCAGUCUUUGCAAGUUGGCCCCGACAGUGCCAUAUUCAGGAAAUUCAUUCUGGAAAAGCUCGAAGAAGCUGAUACUGAUCCGUGUGCCCCUCCUUUUGAUUCCCUCCAGACCUACGCUUUUGAGGGAACAGGGUCAUUAGCUGGAUCCCUGAGCUCCUUAGAAUCAGCAGUCUCUGAUCAGGAUGAAAGCUACGAUUACCUUAACGAGUUGGGACCUCGCUUUAAAAGGUUAGCAUGCAUGUUUGGUUCUGCAGUGCAGUCAAAUAAUUAGGGCUUUUUACCAUCAAAAUUUUUAAAAGUGCUAAUGUGUAUUUGAACCAAAUGGUAGGUAGUCUUAAAGAGUUUUGUGCCCUGGCUCUAUGGUGGGAAAAGCCCUAGUCUAUGGAGUUUUCUGAUUUCCCUGGAGUAAAUACCCCAUGAUUAUUUUAAGCUACCUACAUGCUCUCAUUGAACAGAGAUGUGGGGAGAAAUGUAAGCAAUCAACUCACAGGCAUCAAUACAACCAGAUUUGAAGUAAAAUAAUUUAGGGAGAUAUUAAAAGUAGAUGAGAGGACAUAAGAUGUAGUCAAUCCUUAUGCGAUUAUAUCAUUAUUUACUUAGGAAAGAGUAAAAAUACCAAACAAGAGAAAAUUUAAAGGAGCAAAAAUUUGCAAGUCAAAUAGAAAUGUACAAAUCGAGAGAACAUUUACAUUUCUAUCAUACUGACAUGAAAAUUGAAAAUGUAUAGUCAGAGAAAUUUUCAUGAAUUAUUCCAUGAAGUAUUGUUUUCUUUAUUUAAAAAAGAAUGCUAGGUAAUCUUGGUAGAAAACUAGAAAGUAUGAUAAACAACAGUUGGAGGAAUCCAUGGAAAAUAGAUGAGAAAAAGGCUUUCUGGAGAUCACAGAAAUUUUAUAUGAAUAAAAGUCUUAUAAAACCAGCUCUGGCAUAUGACUAAAAUAUUCCUCUACUAUUUUUCAAUGUCAUCUAAUGCAAAUGCUCAACCUUUUUAAAUGGUUAACGUGAGAAAGGCACUGAAUUAAGGUAUCUUAGUGUUAUUUUAUUUACUCAAUUUUCAUCUUUCACAGUGUAAGAAUAAAAUGUUUAUGUGGUUAAGUUCCUGAUACUAUGUAGAGAUAAACUUUAAAACUUUAACACCUAGGAUAAUGUGGGUGAUUACAUAUAUGUUUAAAAACAUUUACCUCAUAUGGAAAGCAGGUUUCUAACUAAGAUGCCAUGAUUCAUUAUAGUUUGAUAUUUUAAAACCUUUGCCAAGAGCACUCUUUAAAACUGAUUUCAAAUUUGAACAGAUACUUGGUGUAUAUUAAUUAAUCAGAGAUAUAUGGUAUAAAUUUGUAUUAUUUUUGAUAUUACAACUUUGUGUUAAAAAAGGAAAAUAUAUUUAGGUGUUUGUCAUAGAUUUUUUUCAUAUGCAACUCAAAACACAUUCUUAUCAUGUCAAAAUACAAUAGCAAAAUACAAGUCAAUAUUUACUCAUAAUGAAAUGCAAACUUUAUUAAACUGGUGGAAAAUGUGGAAAAAUUUAAGUAAAUUUUUAUCUCUACUAAAAGUUAUUUAGACAACUUAAAGGAAUACUGGAUUCAAACUUCAGUUACUACUCACUUUAAAUAUUAUGAUCAACUGAGCUGACUGUUACCAUUCAUGGAAUAAAACAUGAUACAACUCUCAGUAUUUCCCUUUCUGUUAAGAACUUGGAAUAUGACUGAUGCUUCAGUGUCAUUUUUUAAUUACUGGAUAUAAAAUUAGAUGCAAUAGUUACAUUUGUUGUAGCCUUAAGAAGGAAAUCAAUGCUAAGCUGUUGGGCAUAAAGCUUUAUGGUAAUGUUAGAUAACAAGUUAAUAAAACACUUUUAUUUUAAUUGACCUUUUAAGAAUGGCCUUUAUUAUUCUAUCCAAAUCAAGGUAGAUUUCAAAAUUUAUAGUUUGAGCAGGAAGAAAGUAGUGAAUACAAAAUUCUUAAAAUUGGUUCAUAUGAUCUUUUUUUAUUAAUAGCAUGUGAGACUAAGCUGAACCAAAUUGGCCAUACAUGUUAAAUCAAAUAAUUUGAGUAAUUUUGAACUAUUGAUGAAGUAGUUAAAUGGUUAUAAUAUAUUUUAUUGGUACUUUGAAAUUUAAACAUCUAUAUCACAUAAUAAAUAAAGUUUUUCAUCAAUCUGAAACAGGCACCAUUAAGUUGGUGACACAAAUAUUAUCAUUUCACAAAAGCUUGAAAAAACCAGAUUUGAAGUAAAAUAAUUUAGGAAGAUAUUAAAAGUGGAUGAGAGGACAUAAGAUGUAGUCAAUUCUUAUGCAAUGAUAUCAUUAUUUACUUAGGAAAGAGUAAAAAUACCAAACAAGAGAAAAUUUAAAGGAGCAAAAAUUUGCAAAUCAAAUAGAAAUGUACAAAUGGAGAGAACAUUUACAUUUCUAUCAUACUGACAUGAACAUUGAAAACGUAUAGUCAGAGAACUUUUCAUGAAUUAUUCCAUGAAGUAUUGUUUCCUUUAUUUAAAAAAGAAUGCUAGGUAAUCUCAGUAGAAAACUAAAAAGUAUGAUAAACAACAGAUGGAAGAAUCCAUGGAAAAUAGACGAGAAAAAGGCUUUCUGGGGAUCACAGAAAUGUUGUAUGAAUAAAAGCCUUAUAAACAAUGAAUACAUUUGGAUAAACAACUCAUUAAAAUGCACAUUAAUGGAAUACUUAUACAAAUAUUUUUAAUACUUGUGUCCAGUGGCACUAAAGAGAUAUAUUAAAAUAGAUCCUGGUUGAGUUGAUGAUAAGAUUGUCAAUCAUAGGAUACACAGGGAAAGCACAGACAUGAUUGCACAUCUGUUUGGUAGUCUAAAAUAUGUUCCUUUUAACCACAUCAAAAGAUACUAUCUGAUUCUAAUACAGAAGUUGCAACUUCCUAGGAAUUAUACUUUGUAUUAUUUUCAAUAAUUAUUUUAUGUUUUUGCAUCACAUGGGUGUUGCAAGAACACAGCUCUUAAGCUAAAAAGGCAUUACCUUAAGAAUUUAUUUUUGUAAAUUUUAAUAAACUCUAAAUUAAUGCAAAAUAUUUAUGAAAAUAGCACAGCUUCACAUUAAUACCCACAGUACUUCAAUAUCUCCUUUAGUUGACUCACAGCUUUGUAUGUAAGCUUUAAAUUUUUAAUGGUAAAAACAAGAAAAUUAGGACUAGUGAACUUCUAGUUGUUCACUCAGUGCAUGUGCUUGAGCUUAACAGACCUUUGUUUGAAUUAGUUGCUUUCAAUUAAACGAACGUAUAUUUGUUAAACUGCUUAAUCUUUCCAGACCUCACUUUGUAAAAUGAGGUCCAAUCACCUAUUUCACAUGGUUGUUAUGAAGAAUUAAUUAUAAGAUACGUAAAACCAGCAGCACCAAUAGUGCCUGACAAAAUAUAACUGCUCAAUAAAUAACAGUGAAUUAUUAUAACAACAGCUGAUGUUAUUCUGUUAGAACCCAUGAUCUGUUUCUUUUCCAAUUCUGAGUGAUCUCAACAGCUUCACAGCACAUUGAAAAUAAAAAUCAACUUCCUCACCUUCCCUAUGGGCCAUGGACUUUCCCAUCUCUACCCACUUGUGCAGUUUCUCCUCUUUCCUCUCUCCUCCUCAGUUACUAAAGCAAUCUUCCUUCAAACACUUCUAUUUUCCAUUACCUCACUUCAUUCAGGUCGGUGAUCAGCUGCAACUUCCUCAGAAAGACCACUGCCAUUUCUGGUGACCCUGGCUUUGUCUUGCUUUGUAUUAAAUUACUCAGCUACCUGGUAUUAUUGUUGUCCUUAUUGCUUAUUAGAAUGUAACCCUUAAUGGCAAGAAAUUAUCAGUUUUGUUCAUUUAUCAUUGUGUAAAAAUGUUUCUAGCACACAGAAAGUGACCAAUAAAUAUUUCUGGAAUUAAUGUAGUAAUGAAUCCAAUCUAUUUUACUUAGUCACUUGUGGAAAUUCUUUUGGUUUCCAUUGACUAUUUUUAUAGAAUAUUAAUAUGGAAUUAAAGUAUUUUUCAAAA